UUUGAGCUAAUCUAUUCCUAAGCUAAUUUAUCUAUCUAUACUAUAUUAUUAUCUAAGUCUAACACUAAACUGCAUACAUACAUAUUAUAGACAUUAUGUUUAUGUUUAUCUCACAUUCCUAGUUCUACAGACCCUGACCUAUACAGACUCUGAAGAAUAUAUAUAGGAAUUAAGAAACCAACUAUUUGAGUUCUUUUACAUGGUAUUUAUCAUGAUUCUUAAUUGUCCAUGUAGACUUUUAUUUUCUAUGAAAAAAUUAAUAUAUCUAUCCCUAAUUUUAGAAAAAUAUGAAGCUAGCUCUCAAUGGUUUGGUUAGUAUAUCAUCAAGUUAUUCUGUUGUUGAUAUGUAUUUAGUUUGCAACUCUUUGCUUUAGACUAGCUCUUAAUUCCUUUACAAAGUUAAAGUUUACACCAAAAUGUUUUGUUUUGGGAUGAUACAUUGGGUUUGCAGAGAGGGGGUUUAAGAAAACUCUACUCACUAACUUGGAGAAUGGAUGAAGAUCUAGGAGGAUGACGCACUUGGAACAAGUGAUGGUUAAAACUCGAUCUCCUUCUUUUGAGCACACGAUUUCAAUUCUCCUUUGAUGAUGAGUGGAAGCAACAAUUAAUGAAAGCUAGGAAGCAAAGUGAUUGCAAGAGCUCUUGAGAAGUAUG
rnacentral:lncRNA from 1 species